rnacentral:rRNA from 1 species
GGAAUAUUGGGCAAUGGAGGAAACUCUGACCCAGCAACGCCGCGUGAAGGCAGAAGGUCUUCGGAUUGUAAACUUCUGUUAUAGGGGAAAAAAGAAUGAUGGUACCCUAUGAGCAAGCCACGGCAAACUAUGUGCCAGCAGCCGCGGUAAUACAUAGGUGGCAAGCGUUGUCCGGAAUAACUGGGCGUAAAGAGAGCGUAGGCGGUGAAUCAAGUUGAUUGUGAAAGCCCGUGGCUUAACCACGGAACUGCAGUCAAAACUGGUUGACUAGAGUUCGGAAGAGGAAGGUGGAAUUCCUAGUGUAGCGGUGGAAUGCGUAGAUAUUAGGAGGAACAUCAGAGGCGAAGGCGGCCUUCUGGGACGAAACUGACGCUGAGGCUCGAAAGUAUGGGGAGCAAACA